rnacentral:rRNA from 1 species
CCUACGGGUGACAGCAGUAGGGAAUCUUCCACAAUGGGCGAAAGCCUGAUGGAGCAACGCCGCGUGGGUGAAGAAGGUCUUCGGAUCGUAAAACCCUGUUGUUAGGGAAGAAAGUGCGUGAGAGUAACUGUUCACGUUUCGACGGUAUCUAACCAGAAAGCCACGGCUAACUACGUGCCAGCAGCCGCGGUAAUACGUAGGUGGCAAGCGUUAUCCGGAUUUAUUGGGCGUAAAGGGAACGCAGGCGGUCUUUUAAGUCUGAUGGGAAAGCCUUCGGCUUAACCGGAGUAGUGCAUUGGAAACUGGGAGACUUGAGUGCAGAAGAGGAGAGUGGAACUCCAUGUGUAGCGGGGAAAUGCGUAGAUAUAUGGAAGAACACCAGUGGCGAAAGCGGCUCUCUGGUCUGUAACUGACGCUGAGGUUCGAAAGCGUGGGUAGCAAACAGGAUUAGAUACCCGAGUAGUC